GAACCUAGGUGACAACGAGAGAGAGCACGCUGGAAUGCUUUUCAUGCAAUACGCUUGGAUGUGUUCUAGCGUGCCCUCUACCGUUGUCGCCAAACA
ncrna:Physcomitrella patens miR535a stem-loop (ppt-MIR535a)